rnacentral:lncRNA from 1 species
GAUUAAUUAAUAAUUUACUAUCAUUAAAAUUUAAAUUUAUAUUUAAUUAACCUUGUUCUGAUUCGGGAAUAAGCUUGUUCCAGGAAAAAGGUGGAACAGCAGUUCCAGCUAGUUCCAGUCUUAUACCAGUUAGUUCCAGAAACCCAGAAACUACUGUUCUCGGUUACCAAACGCUGCGUUUGAGAACAAAGGGGGGAACAAGAGCUUAUUCUCCCCCUUGUUCCCGAACCAAACACUACCCUAAAGUAUGAAAAUUCUAGAAUGCAACGGGUAUAUUAGUGAUGUGGCGUAACAAACCAAUCAAAUUAAUCCUUUUAAGAAUAUAUGUCCCAUCAUGAUUGUAAAAAAGUAUUUUUACUAUACUUUUGUUUGAAAAGAAGGAAUGUGAUUGGCUUGUUAUUGAUGACGUGGUGCAAAUGUGACAGUGUAGAAUUCCUCCCUAAAGUAACAAUUUAAGUAUUUUGGACAGAAGUA